GCUCAGGAUGAACGCUAGCUACAGGCUUAACACAUGCAAGUCGAGGGGUAGCAGGGUAGCAAUACCGCUGACGACCGGCGCACGGGUGAGUAACACGUAUCCAACCUUCCCAUAACUCGGGGAUAGCCUUUCGAAAGAAAGAUUAAUACCCGAUAGUACUUUAUUAAGGCAUCUUAAGAAAGUUAAAGAUUUAUUGGUUAUGGAUGGGGAUGCGUUCCAUUAGAUAGUUGGUGAGGUAACGGCUCACCAAGUCUUCGAUGGAUAGGGGUUCUGAGAGGAAGGUCCCCCACAUUGGUACUGAGACACGGACCAAACUCCUACGGGAGGCAGCAGU
rnacentral:rRNA from 1 species